CAGCACCUCAAGUGGUCAGGAUGAUUAUUGGGCCUGAAGCAUCCGUAGCCGGCUCUGUAAGUUUUCGGUUAAAUCUGUACGCUCAACGUACAGGCUGCCGGGAAUACUGCAGAGCUAGGGAGUGGGAGAGGUAGACGGUACUCGGUAGGAAGGGGUAAAAUCCUUUGAUCUAUUGAUGACCACCUGUGGCGAAGGCGGUCUACCAGAACACGUCCGACGGUGAGGGAUGAAAGCUGGGGGAGCAAACCGGAUUAGAUACCCGAGUAGUCC
rnacentral:rRNA from 1 species